CAGGUAAUGCUCCUGUCUGCAGUCCCGCACAGAGUGAAUUUUGGAAUCUCUCAGUGAGUGAGUAAUGAAAGAUUAUUCAUGAGUCACCAAGUGUCUUUUUAUCCGCCAUUUCUAUCUUUUCUAAUUUCUAAUAUUUGUCAUGAGACUUGCCAUUUGGUAUCUGGGUGGGAGUCGGGAACCAGGGGGUCUCUGUUCUGGGUUAUUGAAUAUUAACCAACAAUGGUUAAUUUCAGAGGCUGGGUCAACUGGUGAAGAAAUAGAUUAGAGAGACACAUAUACAUAGACAGAGAUCAUUAUUGGUUUUACCAUUAAACUGGAAUCAACUCACACUAUAGCAUUGGGUCAGGAAGGUGCCCCUCAACCAUGGUCAGUCCAUGCCGGUGUUUGCGGGUAGUACUCACUUACCCAUCUGUCAAUGCCGGUGUGUGGCCGGUAGUACUCCCUUGCCAGUCUGUCCAUGCCGAUGUAGGGCCGGUAGUUCUCCCUUACCAGUCAGUUUAUGCCGGUGUAUGGCUGGUAGUACUCCCUUACUGCUCAGUCCAUGACGGUGUUUGUGGUUAGUACUCACUUACCAGUUAGUCCAUGCUGGUGUUUGCGUGUAGUUCUCUGUGACAAACUCCCUGUGGUCUUAUUGUUUGCCACAAGCUCCUGGAGAAGCCUGCUUGCCUGCCUCUUGCCUCAGCACUAUGGGCCCUGCAAUAUACCUUGUCCAAUGCACUUUAAAAGGCUCUAUUCAUGUGAUUUAUGUACUUUUGUACUCCAUAAAGAGAGACCGACCGUUAGCCUUGAUUCCCUGGAGCUGUUUUGGGCAUAGGACCAUGUGCACGGUCGGUCAAAUAAUUGACUUCCAUUAAAAAAUCCUGAACCCCUGAACCGAUCUGGGUGAGUUUUGGAUAUAUUGGUCACCCAGAUCAUGGGAUGUAACUUUUGUGGGGUUUUUAUGUGUUUUGGGGGUUUUGUUACAUUGCCAGUUUCUGUACUCGGAGAUAAUCUAAUUAUAUGUUUGUGUGCUUAGGUAAUUAUCUCUCAGGCACAGGGGAGGAGUGUGUUAGAUGUUUGCUUGUAACUAGUCUCCUCUCAGGUCCAUAGGGAGGGAGAAAUUAUCCUAUUUUGUGUGGGACUGUUAUGGGUGUGUUUACUGUGGCCCUGUACUGUAUAAAAGCGGGCCAUUGAGCCUGGAUUAAACACAUUAGUUUUACCCCUUCAUAAAGCCUAGGCUCAUAUUUUGGAGAUUGAAGACCUCCAAUCACUACUCUGCUGGAAACAGGAGAGCUAUAAUCACUGCAGCACUUGGGAUUCUGGAGACUACUAACGGAUAUUCUCAGCCGUAGUAUAGGGGAUCCAUUAAAUACUCACUUACCAUUCAGUCCAUGGUGGUGUUUGUGGGUAGUACUCACUUACCAGUCAGUCCAUGAUAUUGUUUGCAGGUAGUACUCCCUUACCAGUCAGUUCAUGCUGGUGUAUGGCUGGUAGUAUUCCCUUACCAGUCAGUUCAUGCUGGUGUAUGGCCCGUAGUACUCCCUUACCGCUCAGUCCAUGCCCGUGUAUGACCGGUAGUGCUCCCUUACCAGUCAAUCCAUGCCGGUGUAUGGCCGGUAGUACUCCCUCACCAGUCAGUCCAUGCUGGUGUAUGGCCAGUAGUACUCCCUUACCAGUCAGUCCAUGCCGGUGUAUUGCCAGUAGUACUCCCUCACCGCUUAGUCCAUGCUGGUGUAUGGCGAGUGGUACUCCUUUACCGCUUAGUCCAGGCCGAUGUAUGGACGGUAGUACUCCCUUACUGCUCAGUCCCUGCUGGUGUAUGGCCGGUAGUACUCCCUUACCACUCAGUUAAUGCCGGUGUAUGGCCAGUAGUGCUCCCUUACCAGUCAAUCCAUGCCGGUGUAUGGCCGGUAGUACUCCCUUGCCACUCAGUCCAUGCCGGUGUAUGGCCAGUAGUACUCCCUUACCGCUCAGUCCAUGCUGGUGUAUGGCCAGUAGUACUCCCUUACCACUCAGUCCAUGCCGGUGUAUGGCCGGUAGUACUCCCUUACCAGUCAAUCCAUGCCGGUGUAUGGCCGGUAGUACUCCCUUACCACUCAGUCCAUGCCAGUGUAUGGCCAGUAGUUCUCCCUUACCGCUCAGUCCAUGCUGGUGUAUGGCCGGUAGUACUCCAUUACCACUCAGUCCAUGCCAGUGUAUGGCCAGUAGUACUACUACUCCCUUACCCGUCAGUCCAUACUGGUGUAUGGCUGGUAGUCUGUACCUAUGGGGAGUUUGCAGAAUAGGAAAGUCAUAGUUUUUUUGCAGUCGAACUCCGCAUUAAGAUGAAGUCCUUAUCUCCUUGGUCCUAUCUGCAGAAGAUCCUGCUGGGUGUAGAUUAGAAAGAGCAGAGCUACAUCUGGUCAGAGUAUUGCAGGACUUGACACAGUGUAACAUGCAAGCAAUUUGAAAAAAUACAGGGUUAUUUACUCAAGUGAGUUUUAAAUUUAAGUCAAGAAGCAUAGGUGAGUUAGAGAUAUCUUCCUUCCAGUUAUUCUGGACCACACAUUUCAAAUUAACUUAGAAUUCUCGCUGUAGUGGAUAACCCUGAUAUAAACACAGUGAGAAAGUGUAAACAAGUGAAUAAAAGGCUGAUUUAAAAAAAAACCAACCAAAUAGCAGCAACCAUAUAAGAGUCAAGACACAAAAGACUCACAGUAAAAAGAUGUGUGUAUAUAUAAGAUGUGUUUAACAAAAUGCAUGCAUAUAAAAGCUCAAUGUGUCCCAGGGGCGUACCUAGAGCAUUUGGCACCCCCCCCAAAAAAAAAAAAGAAAUCUGUAAAAAAUGUUAAAGGUUUUCUUUCUUUUUUUUACAAUUUGUAAACUUUGCAAAACCGCUGUCAGCCCCUCCUACAAAACCCUUGUCCUGCCCCGCCCCUCCUACAAAACCUCUGUCCUGCCCCUUCUACAAAUCCUGUACUGCCCGUCUACAAAACCCCCGCAACCCCCUUCCACAAAUCCCCUGCUUAUCNNNNNNNNNNNNNNNNNNNNNNNNNNNNNNNNNNNNNNNNNNNNNNNNNNNNNNNNNNNNNNNNNNNNNNNNNNNNNNNNNNNNNNNNNNNNNNNNNNNNCACCUCCCCCCUACCUCCCUGUAGCGUGGCCGAGCCCAGUAUAGUCGGCGGGUACAGGGAGCAGCUGUCUCCUGUACCCGUCGGACCAUGCUGCAGUGAGGGAGCUGACAGGAGCGCUCCCUCCUGUCAGCCUCUCCUCAGGCUGCGCCCGGGCGGUGCGGUCCGUCCUCAUGGACACACCGCCCGGGCAAAGCUGCAGCCGCCUGAGGCUCAAUACAGAGCGCUCGGGCGGCUGCAGCAUGAGGGGAGGGGUGGGCGGGGUGCUGGUCAUGGCACCCCCCACCCGGCUGGCACCCGGGGCGGACCGCACCCCCCUUAGUACGCCACUGAUGUGUCCGCUCUCUUUAAAAGUACACGUACUAAACCUAUUAUAGUAUUUCACUCAAGACAAAAGCAGCAGCCACUAUAGGUCCUCGGGGAUGUACUGGGCCAUGGAUAGCUGCCCCUUUUCCUCUUCUUUAAAGCCGGCUCUGUCCAUAGAUAAUGUAGACAACGGAUUGUGAGAUUCUACUCUAAUCCCUCAUCUUCUUUACAUGUUGUAGGUUCCCGCGUACAAAAUGAUAUUAACUGUGAAUGUGAAACGCCAUGCAGUACAGUGAGAUUCCAGAAGGAGUUGUCCAUGGUUCGAAUCCCCAGCAAGGCUUCAGCGGGCUAUCUGGCACAAAAAUACAGCAAGACCAAGGAGUACAUUGCG
rnacentral:lncRNA from 1 species